rnacentral:misc_RNA from 1 species
GAAAUGCGAUAAGUAAUGUGAAUUGCAGAAUUCAGUGAAUCAUCGAAUCUUUGAACGCACCUUGCGCUCCUUGGUAUUCCUUGAAGCAUGCCUGUUUGAGUAUCAUGAAAUCUUCAAAGUAAAUCUUUUGUUAACUCAAUUGGUUUCUACUUUGGUAUUGGAGGUCUUUGCAGCUUCACACCUGCUCCUCUUUGUUCAUUAGCUGGAUCUCAGUGUUAUGCUUGGUUCCACUCGGCGUGAUAAGUUAUCUAUCGCUGAGGACACUGUAAAAGGUGGCCAAGGUAAAUGCAGAUGAACCGCUUCUAAUAGUCCAUUGACUUGGACAAUACUUUUAUGAUCUGAUCUCAAAUCAGGUAGGACUACCCGCUGAACUUAAGC